rnacentral:rRNA from 2 species
GACAGAGGGUGCAAACGUUGUUCGGAAUUACUGGGCGUAAAGCGCGUGUAGGCGGCUGCGCAAGUCGGGUGUGAAAGCCCUGGGCUCAACCCAGGAAGUGCACUCGAAACUGCGUAGCUGGAGUCUCGGAGAGGGAGGCGGAAUUCUGGGUGUAGAGGUGAAAUUCGUAGAUAUCCAGAGGAACACCGGUGGCGAAGGCGGCCUCCUGGACGAGAACUGACGCUGAGACGCGAAAGCGUGGGGAGCAAACAGG